rnacentral:rRNA from 1 species
UACGGAGGGUGCGAGCGUUGUCCGGAUUUAUUGGGCUUAAAGGGUGCGUAGGCGGCUUUUUAAGUCUGGGGUGAAAGCCCGCUGCUCAACAGCGGAACGGCCCUGGAUACUGGAGAGCUUGAGUACAGACGAGGUUGGCGGAAUGGACGGAGUAGCGGUGAAAUGCAUAGAUACCGGCCAGAACCCCGAUGGCGGAGGCAGCUGACUAGGCUGAUACUGACGCUGAGGCACGAAAGCGUGGGGAGCGAACAGG